AUGCACCGUGUCCGAUUUGUCGUUAAUUCACCUUGUUGCUCUCACCCGACCGUUUCCUUGAGGUUGUUUUCUGGCUGUGCCCCAGAAAGUGAUACCAAGCAACUAACAUCAGGCAGAAGCUACAUCGAUGGAAUUGAGAAGAUGGACAUUCAACAGGUAAGAAUGACACUGAGUUCACAUCCAUUUAAAUAUUGCCAGUUUUCACAGUGGAAUUCUAUCUAGUCAGUCCUCUACUAACAGUCAUACUGUAGAUCAGUUUUCACAGUGGAAUUCUAUCUAGUCAGUCCUUUACUAAGUCAUACUGUAGAGCAUUGUUCACAGUGGAAUUCUAUCUAGUCAGUCCUUU
rnacentral:lncRNA from 13 species